AUGCUGUGCGGGAGACAUUGCAUUGGAGUGCCUGGGUUCUUACAUCUCUUAGUAAGACUGAGAAUGGGAGAAAAUUCUGAGGGAUUGGGAAGUCCCUUUUGUUUGAGUUCAGGACAAUAUGCGAAAAUGUGUUGGGAUGUGCGUCACUGUACCGGCAACAAAAGUUUUCAAAAUAAUUUCUUUUUUCAUUUACCUCUUUCAGGGGCUGAAUGUAUUUGGAGCUCAAAAAUGUGUGUGUUAAAUUGCAGACCAUGUGCUCUGGGGUGUCAUUCUUACUGGGCCUUUCUGUCUUUUUUGUUUUGCUGCCUAAAUGAGGUAUCUGGGAAAAGGCAAGAGCUCCCUUUUCUUAAAUGUCCCACAGGCCAUUUCAGCUCUCAGAGCAACAGAGUGAAAGAAUUGAAAAAGGCCAAGGAACUUGAAGAUACGCAGCAGCAUCCCGUAGCAAUGUGACAUUGCUUUUCAGACUGUUUUCAUUUUCUGUUUUUAGCAGAGACAUGCAACAACAACAAAAAUACCCACUGCAGUUCUGGAAAUACCAGCUGCAGGAUUUUAACAGUAAUGUUUUGGUCAUUGCAUUUGCACUUUCAUGGACAACUUUUAAUUUGUUCAGCAAGACAUCUUGGAACUCAAUCUUCUGUUGGAUCGUUGGGAAAACAAAAGACACCAGGAAGAAAUUGUGAGUUGCUUCAUUCUCCGAGAAGGAACGAAGAAGCGAUUAAUUAUCCUUUUCAUAUAGGGCUGUAUUAAACAACAUGUGGAACUGUACAAAUAUUAUACCAAAAAUAUUGUUCAGAAAAGGUGGGAAUGCACAAGCAACACAAGAAUGCUGUUCCUGCACCUGUCAGUCAUCUCCAAGAAACUGAAGCUUUGAGAGUCUCAGUGGAGGGGCUUAGAUCAGUACAUCUUUAUUGGGUCCAUGCAUCCUCAUUUCCUUCGCACUCCUGUCUUUUGUGUUUUAUUUAAACCUCUACAGCACACUUAAUGCAACUUUUUAAAUCUGCAGGUUUUUAAUACAUCCUGUGGGAACUUACAGAAGGGGUUGGUGUGUGAGAGACACGGGUAAUGCAUGAGAAUGGAGAGAGCAGCUUAAGCAAGUUUUAAACACUUUUUUUGGUAUUUUUACUAGAACCUGCAAACAUAUCAACUGUCAUGUACUUUCUCUCAUAUUCAGCACUUUAUUUUCUAGCCUUACCUUCAUGUACUAUUGUUUUAAUUAAGUUCUUAAAUAAUUUGUAAAACAUGUAGCUUUUUCUCUUAUGUCAAACCUCUUGUCAUUUUGCAGAGUCACGUACAUAUGUUGCCUGGACAUUUUAAGCCACCUAAAGAUCAGUGGUGCUGCAUUCUGGCCAGUAAAUUUCUUAUUUUGGCUACUUCAUCGAAAUCUGGGCAGUUUUCUGUAUAUAUAGAAGGUAGAAAUGGAAAAUGAGAAAAAAUAUUUGAAAGGGAAUAUAUUGAUUAAUUACUAAAUAUUUUAUUCACAAAGGGUCAAUAACUUGGCAAGAUAAAAUUAUUAUUUGUAUAGUUUUGUCUGAAUGAACCAGAAGAGUGUGGAUGUAUUGUUUGUACAUAUUGUAUAUAUUAAAACAAAGAGAUAUGUGCAUGAACUCAAGAAAAAGAAAUGAACAAAGCAAAGCAUUAGUGGCUAUGGUCUGUAAAAUGAAACAAAAACUUUAUUUCACUAUAAGAAACUUUAUUUUAAAUGUUCUUUAGAAGAACAUUUUUGCUAAAGCAUGACUAAAUGGCAAAAAAGAGCUACUGUAUUUAGACUUAGGAAAAAAAGGCAGAGCAACAUUACUUAAAAAAAAAAAAAAAGAAAAAAAGGAUAUGUUUACAUUUGAUUUUGGCUACCAGGAGUUUGGUUCAGUUGGGUUUAAUUUAUAUAUUCCUUGCUUUUUUUUUCCCCCCGUCUUUUUUUUUCCUUUCUUUUUUUUUUUUUUUUUGCCAAUGGUGCCAAGUAAUGUGAAUGCUAAUAUUGCUUAAGAAAAUUAAGUUACUUUUGCAAAGCAGAUAAUCAUAAGAGUACAAAAACCGUAUCUAGCUUAACACCAUACACUCACUCCAAUAAAGAACACUUAGAAUGAACA
ensembl:lncRNA